CAAACGUGGAUACUCCUGGGAGGUCACUCUCCCUGGGCUCUGUCCAGGUGGCGUAGGGGAGCGUAGGGUUCUGCCGCAUGAUGUACAGUCCAUUUCCAUCACGCCUUGAGUCUGUGCCUGCAUAUUCCUACAGAUUCUCAGAGUCCUGUGGACGAUGACAGAGGAGACAAACCAUGCGGGAAACAGCU
ensembl:snoRNA SNORA73 Small nucleolar RNA SNORA73 family